rnacentral:rRNA from 1 species
CCUACGGGUGGCAGCAGUGGGGAAUAUUGGUCAAUGGACGAAAGUCUGAACCAGCAAAGCAGCGUGAAGGAUGACUGCCCUAGGUAUGGUAAACUUCUUUUAUAUGGGAGUAAAAUGUUCCACGUGUGGGAUUUGGUAUGUACAAUAUCAUUAAGGAUCGGCUAACUCCGUGCCAGCAGCCGCGGUAAUACGGAGGAUCCGAGCGUUAUCCGGAUUUAUUGGGUGUAACGAGAGCGUAGAUGGAUUGUGAAGUCAGAUGUGAAAGUUUGCGGCUCAACCGUAAAAGUGCAGUGGAGACUGGCAGUCUGGAGUACAGUAGAGGUGAGCGGAAUUCGUGGUGUAGCGGUGAAAUGCUUAGAUAUCACGAAGAACUCCGAUGGCGAAGGCAGUUCACUGGACAGCAACUGACACUGAGGCUCGAAAGUGUGGGUAUCAAACAGGAUUAGAUACCCGGGUAGUC